UGAGUACAAGAUGCUACGGCAUUGAAGCAGUCUAUGUCAUACUUCCAAGAAAAGCUUGCAAUGUCAUAAACAAAUAAUGCCUGUACCAUAACCGACACAGGUGGGUAGGUAGAGUAUACUAAGGGGCGCGAGAUAACUCUCUCUAAGGAACUCGGCAAAAUGACUCCGUAACUUCGGGAGAAGGAGUACCUUAUUUUAUAAGGUUGCAAUAACAAGGUCCAAGCAACUGUUUACCAAAAACACAGGUCUCCGCUAAGUCGUAAGACGAUGUAUGGGGGCUGACGCCUGCCCAGUGCCAGAAGGUUAAAGAAGUUGGUUAGCAUUAGCGAAGCUGAUAACUGAAGCCCUGGUGAACGGCGGCCGUAACAAUAACGGUCCUAAGGUAGCGAAAUUCCUUGUCGGGUAAGUUCCGACCCGCACGAAAGGCGUAAUGAUUUGGAUACUGUCUCGGAGAGGGGCUCGGUGAAAUAGACUUGUCUGUGAAGAUGCGGACUACCUGCACCUGGACAGAAAGACCCUAUGAAGCUUUACUGUAACUUGAGAUUGAAAUUGGACUUUAUUUGCGCAGUAUAGGUGGGAGACCUCGAAAGUAUUCUUGCGGGAAUAUUGGAGUCAUCAGUGAGAUACCACUCUUAUAAUGUUAGAUUUCUAACUUUGUAUCAUUAUCUGGUCAAAGAACAGUUUCAGGCGGGCAGUUUGACUGGCGGUCGCCUCCCAAAUGGUAACGGAGGCGCACAAAGGUUUCCUCUGAACGUGUAGAAAUCGUAUCUAGAGUGUAAAGGCAUAAGGAAGCUUGACUGUGAGACCUACAAGUCGAGCAGGGACGAAAGUCGGUCUUAGUGAUCUGACGGUGCUGAGUGGAAAGGCCGUCACUCAACGGAUAAAAGUUACUCUAGGGAUAACAGGCUGAUCUCCCCCAAGAGUUCACAUCGACGGGGAGGUUUGGCACCUCGAUGUCGGCUCAUCGCAUCCUGGGGCGGUAGUACGUCCCAAGGGUUGGGCUGUUCGCCCAUGAAAGCGGUACGCGAGCUGGGUUCAGAACGUCGUGAGACAGUUCGGUCCAUAUCCGGUGUAGGCGUUAGAAUAUUGAGAGGAGCCUUCUUUAGUACGAGAGGACCGGGAUGGACGAACCUAUGGUGCACCAGUUGUUCCGCCAGGGGCAUUGCUGGGUAGCUAAGUUCGGCAGGGAUAACCGCUGAAAGCAUCUAAGCGGGAAGCCCACUUCAAGAUAAGAUAUCCCAUGGUGUAAACCAUCUGAAGGCUCGUUGUA
rnacentral:rRNA from 1 species